UUUUGAUCCUGGCUCAGGAUGAAACGCUAGCGGCAGGCCUAACACAUGCAAGUCAAGGGGCAGCACGAUUGAGCUUGCUUAAUUGGUGGCGACGGCGCACGGGUGCGUAACGCGUAUGCAACCUACCUUAUACUGGGGUAUAGCCCGGAGAAAUUCGGAUUAAUCCCCCAUAGUAUUAUCGAUUCGCAUGUUUUGAUAAUUAAAGGUUACGGUAUAAGAUGGGCAUGCGUCCCAUUAGCUAGAUGGUGAGGUAACGGCUCACCAUGGGCGACGAUGGGUAGGGGGCCUGAGAGGGUGGUCCCCCACACUGGUACUGAGACACGGACCAGACUCCUACGGGAGGCAGCAGUGAGGAAUAUUGGUCAAUGGGCGCAAGCCUGAACCAGCCAUGCCGCGUGCAGGAAGACGGUCCUAUGGAUUGUAAACUGCUUUUAUUUGGGAAUAAACCUCUUUACGUGUAGAGAGCUGAAGGUACCAAAUGAAUAAGCACCGGCUAACUCCGUG
rnacentral:rRNA from 1 species